GAUGAACGCUAGCGGCAGGCUUAAUACAUGCAAGUCGAGGGGCAGCGCAGUGUAGCAAUACAUGGGCGGCGACCGGCAAACGGGUGCGGAACACAUACACAACCUUCCUACAAGUGGAGAAUAGCCCAGAGAAAUUUGGAUUAAUACCCCGUAACAUAGCGAUGUGGCAUCACAUUGCUAUUAUAGCUUCGGCGCUUGUUGAUGGGUGUGCGGCUGAUUAGAUAGUUGGCGGGGUAACGGCCCACCAAGUCUACGAUCAGUAGCUGAUGUGAGAGCAUGAUCAGCCACACGGGCACUGAGACACGGGCCCGACUCCUACGGGAGGCAGCAGUAAGGAAUAUUGGACAAUGGACGCAAGUCUGAUCCAGCCAUGCCGCGUGAAGGAUUAAGGUCCUCUGGAUUGUAAACUUCUUUUAUAAGGGACGAAAAAAGGUCUUUCUAGAUCGUCUGACGGUACCUUAUGAAUAAGCACCGGCUAACUCCGUGCCAGCCGCCGCAGUAA
rnacentral:rRNA from 1 species